ncrna:unclassified sequences L31-Gammaproteobacteria ribosomal protein leader
CAUGUGGUGUCCGACUUCGGGUUGGGAGAGCGACAUGGCCUUCAACUAUAAAGGU